CUCUCAAUCUAUCUUAUAGUGUCUCAUUAUUGUAUCGAGUUAAUUACAUAUUGUCAUAUGAAUAAAAAAUAUUAAAAAAUAAAAUGUAAUAUUCUGAUUGAUUUGAGACAGGAAAUAUGACACCGUUCGAGACAUGAGAUCUUCGUCUAACACGGUAUCACUCAGUUACCAACAUAGUUGUACACUAUAUUCAGAAAUAUCAAUUGAAAGCUUCUAACUUUCUCACACUCCUUGAACUACACUUAGUUCUGAAAAUUUAGCUAUUUAAUCCUCCUAAUUUGUCCAGAUGGGGAUACAUAUGGUGGUGGUGGCUAUAGCUAAACUUCACUGGCAACUUAGCAGCCACAAUUUAAGGCCAACAGUGGUUGGUUUUGCUUACCCAAUGGUGCUUAAGUUGUUGAUGAGUUCCUUCAGGCUCUUCCAAGAUGAAGCACUUUAUCAGUCAAGGUUGUUCUUCUUCACAAUCUCUCAGAUAGUGCACAAUAGGGAUUUACCACUUUCUACACGGUCAAGAUUGGAACGGGCUAUAACAUUGAUCUUGAGAUUCAUUGCUACAACAAGCAUAGGUACAACAUCAGAAGGUUUGGAAAUUGGACAUGACACAUUUUAUGCACUUUCAAUGAUUGCACUUUGAUCACUUUAGCUUAUACCUGGUUCAGUUAGUUCCUUCCCUUUGUUGAACAUGUCUUAUGUUGUAUUAUAUCAUACUAUUCUUGUGUGUUUGAUUGGUUUAGAAUGAAUCAUAUGAAAUAUUUAGAAUAAUAAAGUAUUUGGG
rnacentral:lncRNA from 1 species